CCGGUGGAUCCUAAUGGUUGAUGGUGGGGUUUAUAUCCUUCUUAAUAUAUCAAGUUACAUAUCAUAGCAAGAAUUUGGCCCGUCGCUGGUACACUGUAAAGCCACAAAUUUGGGCCCUUGUUACAACCAGGUUAAGUUAGGUCUUGUUAGGAUAGCUCAGCAAGUUUGGGCAGGUUAGGAUAGCUUAGAUUUAAUUCUCUAAAUAUAUGGUCUUGGGGGGGCACACCUGGAGAUACAUUUCUGUUUAUAUUGUGUUUUGACAGUGGCUUGCUAAGGCUAGAUUAGUUUCAUUAAAGUUUGGUUAGAUUAGGAUGACUUAGAUUUAAUUCUCUUUAUAUAUAAUCUGGGAUGACACAUUGAGGCAUAUGUUUUUACUUUUUGCAUAUUUGGCGUCGGAACACAGGCUGGGGAAGGAGACCGUGGCUGAGUGGUUAGCGUGCCGGUCCUGCGUUCGCUGCGUCAUGGAUGAUGAGGGUUUCAAUCUGCUGCUGCCACAGACUACUUGUCCUGAAGACCACCACCAUCAUCCUGGACUGUAUGGGACUGUCCAAGGGAAAGCUAGAUGGGGCAGCUAUAAACACUUGCCGGCUUGGGCCCCCCACCAGGCCCAGCCAAGGGAGGUUGGUGUAGCAGUGCUGGGAGGUUCCAUAACACAGGGCACUCCUCACCUCAACAACAGUCUCUUCACCGACAAGUAAUUCUUCACCAACAAGCUUUUCAGCAGCUUGGAGAAAUAGACACUGCCGAACGAAGAAGAGGAGGAGGAGGAGGAGGACUGGGAAGAAGACGAGGAACACAGGAGGAACCCAUUGAGAGAACAAGAAGAAGAAGAAGAAGAAGAAGAGGAGGACACAGGAAUUCCUUGUUUACAGUUUACGUGAGCGAGUCGCACGCACACCAGAGCCAGUCACACCAAGGAGCCCGGGGCCGGCGAGCACCACUCGCCCGCCCGCUGCCCGCUGUCUUCUCUCGCCUUCUCCCGUGUCUUUGCGUUGCUUGCUCGUUUUAUUUGCUUGUUAGAUCGUCCGGGAGGGUGUGGGUUCCGGUUGAUGACGGCUGAUGAAAGUCAUCAUUUGCUGAUUCUUGCGUUAGCUCAGCAUGUGUUCCCACGGCCAUCAGCUCUGACGUGUUCCAUAACAUCCUGGCAAAGGCACUGAGCCUGUGCUUAGACACACAGCCACACACUCGCAUGUACAUUAUAAUAUACACAUUACAAAAUAAUGUGAACAGUUAUUGUUUUCUGCAAGAUAUGGAAAUGGAGCCAGUGUUUGUGUUUGCAUGUAAGAAUGAAAACUGUUAUUGAGGGCAUUGGAAGAUUGAAUAACCUUGCAGGGAAGUGUUUCAUUACACCGUACAGCCACUCAACCAGAAUUUUAUAUUAAUACCUCAGCACAAUAUUGUCCUUGUCACGGCACGGUGCAAAGCUGAGCCUGUCUUGUCCUGAACCCUGACUUAGAGGCUUGGGGUGUGUGGGACCGGGAAGAUAUGCCGUGGGCUCAACCCCCCCCCCCAAGCGACUCCCCCUGACCAGGGAGGGAGGGGAUACAAUUACUUCAAAUUACAUUGAAUACAUAUGAAGUUGUUUUAAUAUGAAUACAAAUACCUUCUUGUCAUAAUUGGGUUUAGCAGUGUUGUAAAGUUAUCUAAGAUCAGGGAGGGAAUACAAGUGUUGUGGAUUACAAUACCAAUACAGUACUUCAAAUUACAGUGAAUAGAAAUACUGUUUUGAUAUGAAUGAAUACACCUUCUUGGCAUAACAGCAGCAGUGUUCUAAAGAUGUACAAGGUAGUGUAGCUCAUAACCCUGUACUCAACACAGUGCUAACAAGAAGGCUGUUUUGAUAUGAAUGAAUACACCUUCUUGGCAUAACAGCAGCAGUGUUCUAAAGAUGUACAAGAGCUCAUAACCCUGUACUCAACACAGUGCUAACAAGAAGGCUGUUUUGAUAUGAAUGAAUACACCUUCUUGGCAUAACAGCAGCAGUGUUGUAAAGAUGUACAAGAGCUCAUAACCCUGUACUCAACACAGUGCUAACAAGUCCCCCGGGAGGCUGUGUGGACUUGUAAUGCCUGCUAUUACAGAUGAUAGAUUUUGAAGUGUUCCUCAGAUAAUUAUUUGCACAAUACAAAUACUUUUCCCUUGUAUUCCAAUCACAAUGAGAAUGCUUUGAUUUCUAUCAAUAGUUAUACCAAUACAAACACACCCAAAUAUGGUAUUCCAGUGUAUUUGAAUAGGAAUAGGGGUGGAGGCGGCCUUGGCCCUGAACUGUCAAGCCGCUCAAGUGUCAUUUCCCUCAUUGUUUAGGUGGUGGGCAGCUGUCAGGUGCUUGUCAGGCCAGGCUCGUCAGGUCACCUGCUGUGUGGAGCGAUGACUCGUGUUCAGGUGAGGCCACUCACUGGCAGCACUGUUGAUGAAGACCCGUCACAGCCGAGGCAUUCAUGUGCAGGGAAACAGUUCACAGGGAGAGAGAAACACUGCUGUACAAGAUGUUAAUUAAAAGUGGGAAUACUACUAUGAGCUAUGUUAGUACAGUAGAGCCCCAUUUAGCGUGAGAAUUAGGUGGAUGAACGCGGUCGCGCUAACUAAAUUCACGCUAAUUGAAUAAAGUAACCAAUAUGAAAAAAAGUUAUUUGGUGCACACGUGGGUGUGACUUUUGGGUUUGAUAAUUACUCAAAAUACGCAGUCAUCAGUUAUGGAUGGUGACUCUUGCGGCCCAAGGUGUCGGCAAGUGGGUGUGACAAGAGUUCGGCCCCAGCAAAGGUUCGGUGGGCAGGGUGUGGGCGUGUGUGGGCGUCGUGCCCGGCCAGGCCGACAUCACGCCCGUUAUUAUCGAGCGUGUCACGGUGACGGUGGCCACACAAUCAAUAGUGACACCUUGCCUCAUCUGCCCCGCCGUGGCAGGUAAUAGUGGCGCCCCGCGGGGCCGACACGGCGAAGCUCACGCCCCGAGGAUGGCGGCGGAGGCGGCGGCGGGGCUGGGACAGUGACAGUGGCUGCUGCGGCGCCACACACGAGCAGCGAGCUGUGCACCGCCCCCAGCAGGUUGGUGUAGCAGUGCCGGGAGGUUCCAUAACACAGGGCACUCCUCACCUCAACAACAGUCUCUUCACCGACAAGUAAUUCUUCACCAACAAGCUUUUCAGCAGCUUGGAGAAAUAGAUGGAAGAGGAAGAGGAAGAGGAAGAGGAAGAAGAGGAGGAGGAGGAGGACACAGGAAUUUCUUGAAUUGAAUGGCUGGCGUCUCGGUCUGCCUGCCUGCGGGACACCACACACUCUGGAAGAAGAAAGAACACCAAGAUGUCAAGUUCCUGCAUAAUCAGCCUCUUAGUGAAGGAAAUGUGCUCUAUUUAUUUAAUAAAUGAUUGACAAAAAAAUAAUUUUGUAUUUAUUUUAGAAAAAUUAUAUGGCUCACUUUUUGCAUAUGUUGCAAUACUAUGCAAUAAGUAUAUCAUGCAAUAAGUUAGGUAU